rnacentral:tRNA from 1 species
CAGGGAGACAACAAAAUGUUUAAUAUUUAAUUUUGUCACCUUAGGUCGAUCGGUAUCUCACAUCCUUAAUCCAUUAAGGAUUUCAUUUCCUAAGUUUUCUAGGUCACACCCAUUACUUUUCCUGGGCCAUUAGCUCAGGUGGUUAGAGCGCACCCCUGAUAAGGGUGAGGUCCCUGGUUCAAGUCCAGGAUGGCCCAUAUCUCUAUGUUGGGGGUAUAGCUCAGUUGGUAGAGCGCCUGCUUUGCAAGCAGGAUGUCAGCGGUUCGAGUCCGCUUACCUCCACUGAUUACCACCUCUUCCAUAAUCUUUAGAAAGGAAAUGUUUUGAGUUGUGAUCAAACUCUGAACGAAUCUAGCUUCCUAAUGUAACUAUUAAGAUGCUGGACUCAUUGAAUAAAUUUCACUGUUUUCAGAGAACCUUGACAACUGCAUAGAUUAUUUUUUAAAGACAAUAAGCAUCUUUAAUGAUGCAGAUUUAUUAUUUGUGCAAAUGCAUUAAUAACAAUUCUAUUAAGCUGAUGCUUCAAUUUUGAAGUUAUU